rnacentral:rRNA from 1 species
GCGAACCGGGAGAACUGAAACAUCUAAGUACCCCGAGGAAAAGAAAUCAACCGAGAUUUCGUUAGUAGCGGCGAGCGAACGCGAAGGAGCCUGUUAGUGAUAAUGACAGAGACAGAGGAACAAGCUGGGAAGCUUGGCGAUACAGGGUGAUAGCCCCGUACUCGAAGUCCAGGUCAUGGUACUAAGCUAACGAUAAGUAGGGCGGGACACGUGAUAUCCUGUUUGAAGAUGGGGGGACCAUCCUCCAAGGCUAAAUACUCCUGAUUGACCGAUAGUGAACCAGUACUGUGAAGGAAAGGCGAAAAGAACCCCGGUGAGGGGAGUGAAAUAGAACCUGAAACCUUGUACGUACAAGCAGUGGGAGCCCUUUAAGGGUGACUGCGUACCUUUUGUAUAAUGGGUCAGCGACUUAUAUUUUGUAGCGAGGUUAACCGAAUAGGGGAGCCGAAGGGAAACCGAGUCUUAACUGGGCGUCUAGUUGCAAGGUAUAGACCCGAAACCCGGUGAUCUAGCCAUGGGCAGGUUGAAGGUUGGGUAACACUAACUGGAGGACCGAACCGACUAAUGUUGAAAAAUUAGCGGAUGACUUGUGGCUGGGGGUGAAAGGCCAAUCAAACCGGGAGAUAGCUGGUUCUCCCCGAAAUCUAUUUAGGUAGAGCCUUGAGCGGACACCUUCGGGGGUAGAGCACUGUUUCGGCUAGGGGUCCAUCCCGGAUUACCAACCCGAUGCAAACUACGAAUACCGAAGAGUGAUACUCAGGAGACACACGGCGGGUGCUAACGUCCGUCGUGGAGAGGGAAACAACCCAGACCGCCAGCUAAGGUCCCAAAGUCUAUAUUAAGUGGGAAACGAAGUGGGAAGGCUUAGACAGCUAGGAUGUUGGCUUAGAAGCAGCCAUCAUUUAAAGAAAGCGUAAUAGCUCACUAGUCGAGUCGGCCUGCGCGGAAGAUGUAACGGGGCUCAAAUAUAGCACCGAAGCUGCGGCAUCAGUAGCAAUACUGUUGGGUAGGGGAGCGUUCUGUAAGCGGAUGAAGAUGGCUCGAGAGGGCUGUUGGACGUAUCAGAAGUGCGAAUGCUGACAUAAGUAACGAUAAAACGGGUGAAAAACCCGUUCGCCGGAAGACCAAGGGUUCCUGUCCAACGUUAAUCGGGGCAGGGUGAGUCGGCCCCUAAGGCGAGGCUGAAAAGCGUAGUCGAUGGGAAACGGGUUAAUAUUCCCGUACUUGGAUAAACUGCGAUGUGGGGACGGAGCAGGUUAGGUUAUCGCACUGUUGGAUAUGUGCGUUUAAGUUGGUAGGUGUGAAGUUUAGGCAAAUCCGGACUUCUUUAACACUGAGAGAUGAUGACGAGGCUCUACGGAGCUGAAGUAACCGAUACCACACUUCCAGGAAAAGCCACUAAGCUUCAGGUUUAUCUAAACCGUACUGAAAACCGACACAGGUGGUCAGGUAGAGAAUACUCAGGCGCUUGAGAGAACUCGGGUGAAGGAACUAGGCAAAAUAGCACCGUAACUUCGGGAGAAGGUGCGCCGGCGUAGAUUGUAGUCCCUUGCGGAUGAAGGUUGAACCGGUCGAAGAUACCAGCUGGCUGCAACUGUUUAUUAAAAACACAGCACUCUGCAAACACGAAAGUGGACGUAUAGGGUGUGACGCCUGCCCGGUGCUGGAAGGUUAAUUGAAGAUGUGAGAGCAUCGGAUCGAAGCCCCAGUAAACGGCGGCCGUAACUAUAACGGUCCUAAGGUAGCGAAAUUCCUUGUCGGGUAAGUUCCGACCUGCACGAAUGGCAUAAUGAUGGCCAGGCUGUCUCCACCCGAGACUCAGUGAAAUUGAAAUCGCCGUGAAGAUGCGGUGUACCCGCGGCUAGACGGAAAGACCCCGUGAACCUUUACUAUAGCUUGACACUGAACAUUGAAUUUUGAUGUGUAGGAUAGGUGGGAGACUUUGAAGAUGAUACGCCAGUAUUGUUGGAGUCGUCCUUGAAAUACCACCCUUUAACGUUUGAUGUUCUAACGAAGAUUACGAAACGUGGUCUCGGACAGUGUCUGGUGGGUAGUUUGACUGGGGCGGUCUCCUCCCAAAGAGUAACGGAGGAGCACGAAGGUUUGCUAAUGACGGUCGGACAUCGUCAGGUUAGUGCAAUGGUAUAAGCAAGCUUAACUGCGAGACAGACAAGUCGAGCAGGUACGAAAGUAGGUCAUAGUGAUCCGGUGGUUCUGAAUGGAAGGGCCAUCGCUCAACGGAUAAAAGGUACUCCGGGGAUAACAGGCUGAU